GGGCCUAUAGCUCAGCUGGUUAGAGCGCACGCCUGAUAAGCGUGAGGUCAGUGGUUCAAGUCCACUUAGGCCCA
rfam:Sporomusa malonica strain DSM 5090 genome assembly, contig: Ga0070592_165